rnacentral:misc_RNA from 1 species
UAAACUUCCUAGUUCUAUAAUGAAUAUAAUUUCUAAGUUGAGUCUUCUUCCAAUACAGCAUCACCUAUCCUACCAAUUGUGUUCCAUUCUCAUUUCCCAAGUGAACCAAACAUGGUCUUAAGAAUACUUCAAUCUCUAAAGCAAAAAAGAACCAUGGGUUUAGGUAUGGGCUAAAUAUAACCCAAAGUUCUAUAGACUUGAGGGCAAAACAUUUUUUUUUUCACGAAGUCCCUGGUACAUAUACAUAGAAAUUCAUUCAGCCAAUUACCUUCGGUUAUCAAAAUUGACUACUUAAUGAUUAAAAGGAAAGAGGCAAUAUUAUGUUGUUAAGCUACCUCAGUGUCUCUAGUUUUUUACCCCAUAUAUUGAGGAUUAGUUAAGUCAUUAUAUGCAAGGCAAUUAAUUAUUUGUCAUUUUAGACACUUACCUCUGCAAGUCAAAUUUAAUAAAUCAGUAUUGUACGAGCUAGAAUGCACUAUUCUAAAGUUGUUUGGUAUAUCAUGGGUAAUUAUCACAUGUAGUUACUCAACUUUAUGAGUGUUUUUUAUAAAAGUCACUAAAUUUCAAUUUCUUUCAUAAAACUCACAGAAUUUCAAUUUGAUUUCAUAAAGUCACUGCAACCGGAAAUAGAUUUUUAGGCUAACUAGUUGACCUGUCAACUAUUUUAUAAAUAAAAUUACAUAACUAGCGAUUGCUGGUGAAAAAGAAACGGAGAAAGGGGAAGGUUUUGACGGCGGAGAGGUAGCUAAUGAUAAGCCAGCAUAAUAAUUACCCAAUUAUGAUUAAACCCCUCAUAAGCUAAUGAUAUAUGCUAUGAUAAGAUUGCAAUGUUACUGACCCGUUAUCAUCCAUUACAAGAACUUUAAGCCCAGAAAAAGCCGUCUGUCCAUGAAUUGCUGGCACUUUUGGCAUGAAAGGAUGCUUAGAUUCAUUUGAGCGCUCAAGAAUCCCAAGUUUUACAACAAAGAUAGCAGUGCAUCCCUUGCCAAGUCCCUCACUUUCAAUCCAAAUGUGUCCUUCCAUAAGAUUUACAAACCUCUUACAAAUUGCAAGGCCAAGUCCACUGCCACUGGAAUUUCCAGUUGCCGAAGAUUGACUUUGUGCAAAUUUAGUAAACAACUUAGAAAUAUCUUGGGGGUUUAUUCCUAGUCCCUCAUCUUUUACCUGUACACACAAAUAAAAGUGACUAUCACUUGGCACUGGGAAAAAAUCAGGAAACCGAGGAUCUCUCAAUGAUUCUGGUUUAGCAACAAAAGCAGUGAUUGAGAUGUUCCCUUCUUUAGAAAACUUCACAGCAUUACCAACAACAUUUAAAAUGGUUUGCAUAAGGCGUUUCUGAUCACCAAUGGCAUAUUCCGGCAAAUCUGGAGCCAAAUUUAAUGUAACAGGCAACUUUUUAACAGAU